rnacentral:rRNA from 1 species
AUUGAACGCUGGCGGAAUGCUUUACACAUGCAAGUCGAACGGUAGAGGGGGCAACCCCUCGAGAGUGGCGAACGGGUGAGUAAUAUAUCGGAACGUGCCCAGUCGUGGGGGAUAACGUAACGAAAGUGACGCUAAUACUGCAUACGAUCUAAGGAAGAAAGCGGGGGAGCGCAAGACCUCGCGCGAUUGGAGCGGCAGAUAUCAGAUAAGGUAGGUGGGGGGGUAACGGCUCACCAAGCCAACGAUCUGUAGCGAGUCUGAGAGGACGACAAGCCACACUGGAACUGAGACACGGUCCAGACUCCUACGGGAGGCAGCAGUGGGGAAUUUUGGACAAUGGACGCAAGUCUGAUCCAGCCAUGCCGCGUGCAGGAUGAAGGCCCUCGGGUUGUAAACUGCUUUUGUACGGAACGAAAAGGUCUCUCUUAAUACGGGGGACUCAUGACGGUACCGUAAGAAUAAGCACCAGCUAACUACGUGCCAGCAGCCGCCGUAA